CCUAUUGUGAUCAAUGAAGUCUGAAGUUUGUUCUUAAUUGCAUCUUUUCCCAUAUAUAUGUUUUUGAUGAUAACAAAAAGGGGAAGAAGAGAAGGAAAGAGUAUAUAAAGGAGAAGAGAAGAAAGAGUAUAUAAAGGGGGAGAAGAAAAGAUAGAAUAUUCACUUUAAGAAAAGAAAGAGUAUUUCAUUUGAGAAGUUAAGAAAGAGUAUUAAUUUUGGGAGAAGUAAAGAUAGUGUUUAAAGAAAGAGUAUUAACUUUGUGAGAAAGAGUGAGUAAAGAAGUUAUGAAACGAAAAGAGAAAUAAAUGGGCAAACAAAUUGAAAAUCAUAUAGGAAAGCUUAUAUAUCUAAGGGGGGAGCAAUUUGCAACAAUGAAAAUGAUCAACUCAAAAAUUUAUAUCAAAUUUCAGAAUUUGGCACACAUAAUUUCAGAAUUUGGCACGCACCUUUCACACCUCGAUACAUAAUCUGAAACUCAUGUUUUAUCUCAAAUUUUUGGAGUUUCAUCUUUAAUGAAUUAUAAAUGAAAGGGGGAGCAAUUCAAAGAGUCAAAUUGGCAACAUUUAAAUGAUAUAGGGGGAGAUUUCACUCGUAUA
rnacentral:lncRNA from 1 species